rnacentral:rRNA from 1 species
GAGACAGGUUGGUCUCUAUCUGCCGUAGGCGCCGUUGCUUGAGAAGAGUCUUUCUUAGUAAGA